rnacentral:rRNA from 1 species
UACGUAGGUGACAAGCGUUGUCCGGAUUUACUGGGCGUAAAGAGCGCGCAGGCGGUCGUUCAAGUCGAGUGUGAAAGCCCCCGGCUCAACUGGGGAGGGUCACUCGAUACUGAUCGACUCGAAGGCAGGAGAGGGAAGUGGAAUUCCCGGUGUAGUGGUGAAAUGCGCAGAUAUCAGGAGGAACACCGAUGGCGAAGGCAGUUCUCUGGGCCGUAACUGACGCUGAGGAGCGAAAGCGUGGGGAGCGAACAGG